rnacentral:rRNA from 1 species
AUUGAACGCUGGCGGCAUGCCUUACACAUGCAAGUCGAACGGCAGCGGGGGAGAAGCUUGCUUUUCCUGCCGGCGAGAGGCGAACGGGUGAGUAAUACAUCGGAACGUGCCCUGUAGUGGGGGAUAACUAGUCGAAAGAUUAGCUAAUACCGCAUACGACCUGAGGGUGAAAGUGGGGGACCGCAAGGCCUCAUGCUAUAGGAGCGGCCGAUGUCUGAUGAGCUAGUUGGUGGGGUAAAGGCCUACCAAGGCGACGAUCAGUAGCUGGUCUGAGAGGACGAUCAGCCACACUGGGACUGAGACACGGCCCAGACUCCCACGGGAGGCAGCAGUGGGGAAUUUUGGACAAUGGGCGAAAGCCUGAUCCAGCAAUGCCGCGUGUGUGAAGAAGGCCUUCGGGUUGUAAAGCACUUUUGUCCGGAAAGAAGUGGCUCUGGUUAAUACCUGGGGUCGAUGACGGUACCGGAAGAAUAAGGACCGGCUAACUACGUGCCAGCCGCCGCCGUAA